GUCGUGAGAUGUUGGGUUAAGUCCCGCAACGAGCGCAACCCUCGUCCCUAGUUACCAGCGGGUUAUGCCGGGCACUCUAGGGAGACUGCCGGUGUCAAACCGGAGGAAGGUGGGGAUGACGUCAAGUCAUCAUGGCCCUUACGUCCAGGGCGACACACGUGCUACAAUGGCCGGUACAGAGCGUCGCCAACCCGCGAGGGUGCGCCAAUCGCCAAAAGCCGGUCUAAGUUCGGAUUGUAGUCUGCAACUCGACUACAUGAAGCCGGAAUCGCUAGUAAUCGUGGAUCAGCCACGCCACGGUGAAUACGUUCCCGGGCCUUGUACACACCGCCCGUCACGCCAUGGAAGCUGGGGGGACCUGAAGCCGGUGGGCUAACCCGCAAGGGGGGCAGCCGUCAAAGGUCAAUUCAGUGACUGGGGCGAAGUCGUAACAAGGUAGCCGUAGGGGAACCUGCGGCUGGAUCAUCUCCUUUCUGGAGCGACGAGUACGAUCGGUGCACCCGGCAACGGGUUCCCGAUACGAAAGUCCUCAGAAGUCGCCCGCACUCUUUCGCUAUCUAGCUCGCAUCACUUCUUUUUGGCGGGUCCUGGCUCGCGCCCUGCGCGGCGGGAUCCGCUCUGCUCUUUGACAAUCGACGAAUGGAUGGUGUGCCUGUUGGCGCCCGUGGGCUCGCUUGCGAGUGUGCAUGCGAGUGCGCGGAUGUGAACAGGCAGGGUGUGAGGAAUCAACACCGGUCGUGCCGGUCCGGGUACCCGUUUACGGGUGCUGCAGGGCUGACACGACAAGAGAAUUUGAGAUCAAACGCAAUAAGGCACACGGUGGAUGCCUUGGCAUCGAGAGGCGAUGAAGGGCGUGAUAAGCUGCGAUAAGCCUGGGGGAGCUGCACAUGAGCCGUGAUCCCAGGAUGC
rnacentral:sRNA from 1 species